rnacentral:rRNA from 1 species
AGCUCCAAUAGCGUAUAUUAAUGUUGUUGCGGUUAAAAAGCUCGUAGUUGGAUCUCAACACGUCGCGGGCGGUUCGUUAUUCGACGUUACUGCCCCGUCGAUGUGUGUGUUUUGACAGAGGCUUCGGGGUGAUCUUAAUCGAUUGUCUCGUAGUGCUGUCAGGUUUACUUUGAAAAAAUUAGAGUGCUCAAAGCAGGCUUUACACGCUUGAAUAUCUGUGCAUGGAAUAAUGGAAUAGGACACUGUUUCUAUUUUGUUGGUUUUCGGAAAUCGGUGUAAUGAUUAAUAGGGACAGUCGGGGGCAUUAGUAUUCAGACGACAGAGGUGAAAUUCUUGGACCGUCUGAAGACUAACUACUGCGAAAGCAUUUGCCAAGAAUGUUUUCAUUAAUCAAGAACGA